AGUGAACGCUGGCGGUAGGCCUAAUACAUGCAAGUCGAACGGCAGCACAGUAAGAGCUUGCUUUUACGGGUGGCGAGUAGCGGACGGGUGAGGAGUACGUCGGAAUCUACGUUUUCGGGGGGGAUAACGUAGGGAAACUGACGCUAAUACCGCAUACGACUUAUGGGUGAAAGCUGGGGAUCUUCGGACCUUUCCCGAACGAAUAAGCCGAUGUCGGAUUAGCUAGUUGGGGGGGUAAGGGCCCACCAAGCCGACGAUCCGUAGCUGGCCUGAGAGGAGGGUCGGCCACACUGGAACUGGGACACGGCCAGGACUCCUACGGGAGGCAGCGGUGGGAAAUAUUGGACAAUGGGGGAAAGCCUGACGCAGCAAGCCCGCGUGGGUGAAGAAGGCCUUCGGUUUGUAAAGCCCUUUUGUUGGGAAGGAAGAGCAGCAGGUUAAUACCUCGAUGUUCUGACGGUACCCAAAGAAUAAGCACCGGCUAACUACGUG
rnacentral:rRNA from 1 species